AUUUCUAGCGUUGAUGUGCUGUUUAAGAAAAGAGCAGCCUUCGUACAGGAAUAGAUCAGCCAUGACUCGGUCCGAAAUCUGAACGGUCCUUGCUGCGGUUUAGCGUCUACAUCCGUAAAAAAGGUAUUGGCUCUUUUAAGAAACCUUCUUGCAAAGUGCUUUGCUCCACAGUGGUACAAAUAUGCUCCACUUGUACACUUUUGUUGUUGUUUCGUGUAUUUUAUAUCCUUCCCCCCUUUUUUUCUUUUAAAAUAACAGGUAAAAAAAGAAUACGAGAGAGGUCCUGUGGGACUGUGCGGUUCUCGAGGUGCUGCAGAGCUUUUUGCGUGGGUCAGUGAAAUCCUCUGGUGAUUCAUGGCAGCAGGUGGAAAGCAAUGGUCAGGACGGCUCCCUUCUGUGCUCGUGCUUAGCAAGAGAUGACAAGCAAUCUCCCCAGUUCUUCCCGAGAAUCAAAGGCGGAUGAGUUAACGGAGGGAAAGCCGAGCGCUUUACGCCGUCCAGAAGGAGCAAAGCGGGAGCGAGUUGCACCUUCUCCCAGCAAGGAAGGAGAAAAGCCACCACCUCGCAGAAAAAACGUCCCGAACCCUGCAAAUGUGCAUCAUUUAUCAAGAAAACUGUAGAGAGGAAGUUCUGACCUGAGACUUCGCUAGGGUGGUGAUGUACUGCAAAAUGUGUCAUCCCUGCGUGUUUGUAAGAGCCACUACAAUUUGCGUAGAGGUGUGAUAGUGCCUGAAAUGAGGAAAACAACUACAACGAUGCCUGAUCAUAGGUAGGCAAUAUGACAAACCAGGCUAUAAAUACUCCUUUGUGAAGUUCUUUGCAUAUUUAUACCCUAGGUACAGAUCUAUUCCUUUUAAUUUGGGACCUCAUUGCUUGCCUGAGUUCUAUUAAUUCUGCGAAGUUAACCAUUUGGGGCCAAAUUCAGCCUGUACCGCUUAACUGAAGCUUUGUAGCUAAUGACAUAAUAAGCCUCUUUUUAUUGGUAUAUGCAAGUUCUUUCUCUUUCUUUAUGCACUGUGGUGAACAACAGGGACUUACUGUGUUAUUUCUUCCGGACAACGUGUAGCAUCGGUAGGUAGCAACUUGCGCGCGUGCUUUGCGUCCUGGCACAGCAACAUGGGGCUAUGGUCAAACUCGCUUCGGAGACCUUCCUCCUUAAGACCUGUUACCUGCCGCAUAUCUGGAUAUGCAAGAACUGGCUCAGUGGACUCUGAUUUGAAACCUUUACUCUCCAUUUUCUAACAGUAAGCAGUCAGCUAAUAUCACAAAUUUGCAGAAAUCUUCCAUAUAUUUCCACACCAAACCAAGAAUUUAAUAAGCAAUUAAUGGCUGAAAUGAUGCAUAGCUAUCUGCAAUAACUAUUUAUAGACAUUGCAAAAAAAUCAGUUCAGAAGGAGAAUGAAGUUGAGCUGGCCAGAUAUUUCUAAAUGGUCCUGUUAAAAAAAAUAAAAAGCUAGUGAGAGAUAUUCUUUGUACGAGGUCCGGAGUGAUAGUGAAAAGGGCAAGCUGUCAUUUUUUAGAGUUUACUUUUCCCACUCCCUCUUCAGAAGUUUUGACACGUGAGUGGGUCAUGAAUGCAGACACAGGUAAGGAUUUUGGAAGCUGAGUGGAUAAUCUGCCAGUGAAGCUGAAGUCCUGGUGAUGCUGAGCACCAAGCCAGCUUUCCCACGGCGUGCCCAACAGCCAUCUCUUGCUGGAGACCCCAUGGGAGUUCUGUAGCUUCAAACACUCCUUCAGAAACUGGUGCAAUCAAUUGAGAGAGACAAAUACCAGAGGAGAUCUAACCCGUCCCUUGGCAGCGCUUCAGACGCUCCCGGUAGAGAAGAAAUCAUCUCUGUGCGCGGCUGCCAGUCUUUGGGGAAGAUUCCCCCGGUGAGCCAACUUUUCACGUCCUUUAAUGGAAGAGGGGGAGUUCGCUUGGCAGCCAGGUUGCCAGCCUUGGCAGAUGCUGGAAGCGAUGCUAAACAGAGCGGUUUUGUUUUCCUGCCCUCAAGGCAGCCCACAGGCGAUGCCGUGAGGAAGCAAUCCUGGUUCGGCAUGGCCAAGGCACACCCACCGCGGUCUUGCACAGCACAUAAAGCUGAAUGUGCUCGGUACCGGUUCGCUCGUGCUGAUGGUUAACAGCAGGUCUGUUUUCUGCAGCUGACGGGACUCCUGGGAAAGUAUCUGGGCUCUCCGCUGGUCAGAAGAUCAGGUGGGAGCUCUGGAGGGAUCUCGAAUUUACUGUGCUAACCGGUCGCUGGAGCGUAGCACCAACCUGCAAGAACGUGCAAUGACAUUUGCCAUGUCGGUGAUAUCAUGGGUCCCACCUGGAUCCUCUGCAACAAACACAUGGGUCAGAGAGAGCAGUCCUGUCCAAAACGGUUUCCCCACGUAAGUCUUUACUCAGUCAUUUCAUUGGUGGCCCUGCAAGACGGCCCAAAGCCUUUGCAUAGUCUCCAUCUCACAUCUUGGCCUUUUUCAGGUAUUUCUGCACCUAGAAAACACUCCAAGUGCUCUGUUGGAAUAUUGUUAUGAAGCAGCUCCUCAUCCUCAUGUUUUACCUUAUUUCUUGUCCUGGUAGCCCUUCCUUUCCCUGUUUCCCCUUCUUGCCACGUUUCUUCCCCUCCGGCUGUCGCCCAGCGUGCCGGGUGAGCUGGCCGUGAGCAGGACCGGGCACCUGCGUCCCCCAGCUCUCGCUCGGCACAGGAGGAUUCCCUGUGCCCCUUUUAAUAAGGACGCAAAUGGUAGUCUCUAAAGUGCAGACGCAGUGAUUAUUUCCCAAUAGCGGGGAGGAAAAUUACAGUGUGGAUGCUAUCAAUUCCCACACUCCAGGACUGAGCAUCAGCUGGGGCUGCGAGGAAGAAUUCGGACCUGGCCAGGUGCUUUCUGGAAUUUUUCACUGUCCCUUGGACUAUUCUUGGUUGGUCUUGUAGUUAUUUUUAAACAUUUAGCCAGAUUAUGAGUUAAGGAAGCUUGCCGUAGGUGUUUGCAGGCUCAAAAGUAGACAGAGGGUUUCAAUUUGUUUUGGCUUGAGUUUAACCAGUAUAAGCAAAACACAUUUUUCUUCCUUUACAGCUGAAAAAGAGUUGAAGUCCAGGAAGGGUGCACCUUGGCAACAAAUCCACCAUCUCAUAAAUCUUUCCUGAUCUUGCUUGGAAAAUUUUUAAUAGCUUUGAAAUACGUUUUAUUGUUACAAAAUUGCCAAAGGUAUGCGUUUUCCUCUCAUCACUCAGACUUUGCUCCAUGAGAUAUAGUGGUAGCUUAUACCUCUAAUUUAUAGACACGCUGUUGAAAAGCAGCAAGCCUUUCAUUUUUUUCUGUUUGUCAAAAAUGGUGGAAACCACCCACAGAUAAUUACAAAUGGAUCAUUAAGGUGUGGUGUGCUAUAUAUUCACAUUCACAUCUUCCACUGUCCUCACUGAGGCUUCUCAGUACUGACUGAUUCUUCUGGCCCUUCUGCAGGAUGUUUGCAGUCGGGGAAAUGUUUAGAUUUUGAAAACAAAGACAAGGUGUUUAAAGUAAAUUGGCCAGAAAGGUUUGGAAUGCCAUUAUAUACAAUGGGAAUGCUAAAUAACUCUUAUUGUAGGUGUUUUAUAGCUAAAGGCAAUAUUAUCUAGCAGACCUAUUAAGUACUUGUUGAUGUUAAUUGCUAUGGUCUUUAAUGCUACUUGUAUUUCCUGAGAGUUCAUUAAA